CGUUUGUCUAUGCCUGGCUAUUGCGAACUCAUUAAAAUCUAAAUUUCCCAUUGGACAGUGGAUAAUUAAAUGACACUCGAAAUGCAAGGCCUGGUAAAUUAUUUGUUAGUUAACGAAGUAAUCAGAGUGCUUUUGUUAAAUGAGGGCCUAGCUUGGUGAAUCCACUGCAAGAAAAAGACGUGUUUCCAGAAGAGACUUCACAAUGGAAUGGUUAAUAAAGUGGCCACAUUAAGCCGAGAUGGCCAGAGUCCCUCCAUCCCGGCACCAGUUGCAUAUUCUGGAAAGCCUAAUAGGCGGCCAUGUUUCUGCUUGGAUGAGGCUGUCACGGCGGUGCCAUGUGGUAGCGUUGUGUGCUAACGCCGGGUGCAGCAAGGGCUGAGAACCGGUGGAAAGGGAGACACUUAGGAACUUGGGCAAGCGGCUGCGCAGCCUGAUGGCGAAAACGGAAAACGGAAAGGCUCAAGGGCAACUUUUAUCCUCAGACCGUCAGGAUGCUGAACUCUGACAUGCCAACAAACACCCAAACCUAAAAGUCAAGCCCACCCGACUUACUGCACGGUCACUUUAUAUCUAAGUCACUUUAUAUUAUAUUUAAUUAAUUCCAUUUUCUCUUCUGGUAACAUUAUUUUACUGUAUUAUGUGUUGCUUUGGAGCUGGCUAGCUUUGUAUUUCACUGCACAUUGUACCUGUAUAACUGUAUA